GAGCAGACCGUCUCCGGAACGAGGGAUUCCUUCAAUCGGACACGGAGUGGAUCGGCUACGGAAUUAACGAGUGCAGGCGUCGCGACUCAUUUAAUUGAACGCGACGGAUACAGAAAGGAGCGACUCUAGAAUCAGUCGUGAUUUAUUCCGUGAGAACUUCGAGGGAAUCAUUUUAAU